AUUAUUUUGGGGAUGAUGGUUCCAACUUUUUACGAAAAAGGGGCAUAAAAGAAGCAUUCUUUUUAGUUUCAGGAUAAUUUCUUGUGUAUAAGAAUUUCGAUUGCUCUGAAAUUGUAAUACAGCGUUCAAUACCACAAGUAGAAGGCUAGGAUUCAUUUUGGGGGUUAUGGUACUAACAGUUUAGGAAUGAAGGAACAAAAAAAGGGACAAAAAACAAUCCUGUUAACUUUGUAGUUUCCGGACAAUUACUUGUGUGUAAGUUUUUGGAUCUUUCUGGCAUUGUGCCACAAGGAACAAUAUCACAAAUAAAGGGAAGACUGGGGUUAGGUUCGGGGAUAAUUGUCCCAAACAUGCAGAAAUAAGGGGCAAAAGAAAUGGCAAUUUUUUUUCUAAUUUCCAGACAAUAUCUUGUGUUUAAGUGUAUGGAUCUCUCUAAAAUUGUACUACA
rnacentral:lncRNA from 1 species